UUUUUUUUAUCCUUUAGUCAAUGCAAGUAAUUCUUAUAUUGAAACUUGAAGAAUGAAGUUUAUUUUUCACCUUUUUAAGCAAUGAAGUUGACAGGAGGGGUGAUUUAAAUAGGGAUGUGUUAAGUGGCAUCAACCUACCUGUGCUACAGGGGUGCUUGUGAGUCAUGGGUCCUCAGAAGUGAAAGGUGCGGAUGCAUGGAGCAUUGAUUGGGGUGUUUGUGGUUGACAGAGGAAGUUAAUGGGAAGGGUCAGAUGGAAGCCAUUGCUGCUGUGUUUGGCAUAGUGUAUCUGGAAGUACUAUUCUUAUGGACCAUAAGGCCUAACAUGAGUUCCUAGAUAUGGAUG
rnacentral:lncRNA from 1 species